CAACUUUCAACAACGGAUCUCUUGGCUCUCGCAUCGAUGAAGAACGCAGCGAAAUGCGAUACGUAAUGUGAAUUGCAGAAUUCAGUGAAUCAUYGAAUCUUUGAACGCACCUUGCGCCCCUUGGCAUUCCGAGGGGCACMCCCGUUUGAGUGUCGUGA
rnacentral:rRNA from 1 species